rnacentral:misc_RNA from 1 species
CCAAUUAUAUAUAUGUUAGUUUGCGUAUCUCUGUCAAAGGGGGUCGCAUAACUAUACUAUGUAAACGUUGAACUAGAUCAAUUGGUGUGGAUUGCUUGGGAAUGGACGAAGCGAUGAGCCUCUUCCGGACAGGCAAGCCCCACACUGAUAACCUUUUUCAUAUCAUUUACUCGUAUAUACUACCACAACAACAAAAACAAAAGCUAUAAUAGGACUUAUUAACGGCUGAGUGGGUAACAUCCUCGGCUUAAACAUAUAACUAUUA